GCUACGGGGAGGACUUGUUUAGUUCACUCAAAAAUCAAAAAAAAAAUAUUUCAAGAUUCUUCGUCUGAUCGAGUCUUGCGGCACAUACAUAGAGCAUUAAAUAUAGAUAAAAAUAAAAACUAAUUACACAGUUUGCCUAUAAAUCGCGAGACGAAUUUUUUAAAUCUAAUUACUUUAUAAUUGAAUAAUGUUUAUUAAAUAAAAACGAAAGUGCUACAAUAUCGUCUUCCCAAAAUUUGUUGAACUAAACAAGGCCUCGAGUCAUGUCGAUAUGGG
rnacentral:lncRNA from 1 species